rnacentral:rRNA from 1 species
AUUGAACGCUGGCGGCAGGCCUAACACAUGCAAGUCGAGCGGCGUGGCGGACGGGCGAGUAAUGCACAGGUAUCUGCCUUGUCGUUGGGGCUAACGUCAGGUAACGGGAGCUAAUCCCGCAUCCUAUUAGCUGAGCCUUGGGCGGAUUAGCUAGUUGGGGGGGUAAAGGCCUACCAAGGCGACGAUCCGUAACUGGUCUGAGAGGAUGAUCAGUCACACUGGAACUGAGACACGGUCCAGACUCCUACGGGAGGCAGCAGUGGGGAAUAUUGCACAAUGGGCGAAAGCCUGAUGCAGCCAUGCCGCGUGUGUGAAGAAGGUCUUCGGAUUGUAAAGCACUUUAAGUUGGGAGGCGUUACCAACAGAAUAAGCACCGGCUAACUUCGUGCCAGCAGCCGCGGUAAUAC